UACGGAGGGUGCAAGCGUUAUCCGGAUUUCCUGGGUUUAAAGGGUGCGUAGGUGGGUCUGUAAGUCAGUGGUGAAAUCUCCGAGCUUAACUCGGAAACUGCCAUUGAUACUAUAGGUCUUGAAUUAUCUGGAGGUAAGCGGAAUAUGUCAUGUAGCGGUGAAAUGCUUAGAUAUGACAUAGAACACCAAUUGCGAAGGCAGCUUACUACACAGUAAUUGACACUGAGGCACGAAAGCGUGGGGAUCAAACAGG
rnacentral:rRNA from 1 species